rnacentral:rRNA from 1 species
AACGAACGCUGGCGGCAUGCCUAACACAUGCAAGUCGAACGAGACCUUCGGGUCUAGUGGCGCACGGGUGCGUAACGCGUGGGAACCUGCCCUUAGGUUCGGAAUAACUCCCCGAAAGGGGUGCUAAUACCGGAUAAUGUCUUCGGACCAAAGAUUUAUCGCCUUUUGAUGGCCCCUCGUUGAAUUAGCUAGUUGGUAGGGUAAAAGCCUACCAAGGCGACGAUUCAUAGCUGCUCUGAGAGGAUGAUCAGCCACACUGGAACUGAGACACGGCCCAGACUCCUGCGGGAUGCAGCAAUGUGGAAUACUGGACAAUGGGCGCAAGCCUGAUCCAGUAAUGCCACGUGAGUGAAAAAGCCCUUAGAGUGGGAAAACUCUCUUACCCGCGAUGAAAAUGUGAGUACCGGGAGAAUAAGCUCCAACUAACUCCGUC